rnacentral:rRNA from 1 species
UUCCUACGGGACGCAGCAGUAGGGAAUCUUCCACAAUGGACGAAAGUCUGAUGGAGCAACGCCGCGUGAGUGAAGAAGGGUUUCGGCUCGUAAAGCUCUGUUGGUAGUGAAGAAAGAUAGAGGUAGUAACUGGCCUUUAUUUGACGGUAAUUACUUAGAAAGUCACGGCUAACUACGUGCCAGCAGCCGCGGUAAUACGUAGGUGGCAAGCGUUUUCCGGAUUUAUUGGGCGUAAAGCGAGUGCAGUCGGUUUAAUAAGGCU